CCACUUUGUUGAAGAGUAGAUAUGUGAUAUAGUUACCUUAUAUUAGUUGAAGGCAAUGGGUAACUUUGGUUACAUGACUAAGUGAUGUCAAAAUUAACACCUACCCUUUUCACCAUAUUGGAAAGAUUGUAAGAUUAAUAUCAAGAAGUGGGAAGAUAACCCACAAAACUCAAAAUCUCAAGCAAAUCAACAACUGCAAUCUACAUGACAAGUAUGCCUCCGCCUAACCCAAAAUGUGGGGACUUACUUGAGUCUAUGCUGUGGCGAAUUAAGCCUUCAAAAGCAUAGGUUUUUUGCUUCUUCUUCUUAAUACAGAAAAUGAACUAUUCCAGCACAUAAUCAAGGUCUUAAGUGAAACAGAACCAGGGAAAUCAUUAAUGGUAUCUUUUUCCUUCAUUUUCUCUAAUUAGAGAUAUUUUAAGAUUUAUAAAAGAAAUUGAGUUGCAAAUGAAAAGGAAAUUGGAAGGCUUAAAGGUAGCUGGACUCUCAGUGUAAACAUUGGAAUGGCCAACUGCAAAAAUACAUAAACAUUAAAAUUCUAGUUUGGAUGCCUGCAACUCCUUCCCUACUUUAUCUUAUUCUCUUCUUUUCUCCAGAUUUCCCUCUUCUUUCUUCUUAUUUACACUCUUUCAUUUUAUUUAUUACAACAUUAGGUUUCAUAACUGACAACUAAAGUAGUAUCAAACAAGUUCAGGAGUUUCCUUUCAGCUUCUAGAUAUAUAAUUUAAUAUGAACAAUUAUAUCUCAUAAGGAACAAGCAAAAGAUUAUAUUUCAAAAUAGCAAUCAAUUAUUGCUCAAUUUUUCAAAAUGUUGCUAAACAUUAUUCUAUUACUUGUUAAAUAAAGUUGGCACAUAAUCUGGUAAAUGGAAAAUCUCAGCAACAGAACAUAAGAAUACAGGAAUCAACUGAUGAUUACUAGGUCUCCCUCAGUGUUGCUUUCCCUUUCUUAUAUCAUAAUAAAUAACAUACUUAUGUUAACCAAAUGCCACAAAUAGGUGUCCAUACCCAGCAAAAGGAACAAAGGUCUGUUACUACUUGUCAUUCUAAAUUUGAGAAAGAUGAUAGCCUGAGUAUUAACAACUAGAUAACAUGAAAUCAUUGGUCUAAUAGUGAAGAUGCAAAAUAGCACUUGAGCACAUUUAUACGCCAAAUUAGUGCAGGAAAGUAUGUCUAGUGUGUGAUGAGAGUUUAGGAGAACAGAAGCAAUGAAUAAGAGUUGCUAAAAUUUUAAGUUGGAUCUGAAUUUCGUUACCACUUUUAGUUAUCAAAGUUGGAAACCAAUGAAAAAUUCUAAAGGGAUGAGAAAGUCCACAUAGGAUUGGUGAACUUGAAAGAAAUGCGUUAGAUUAUGAUGGAAGUUGUUUUGAGAAAAGGAAAAAGUUAAACAGCAGAUUUGCUCAAAUCUGACAGCAAACCUCAAAAUUUAUGGUUCAUAAGAAGUUAUGUGAGAUGAUGCAUUUGGAUUUGGAGUUUAUGAAUCCAAUUCAGUAUUUGAUAAUUUAUGUAAGAGAAUAAAGCAAUCAGGGCAUGUCAACUUAAGAUGUGGGACCAAGUAGAAAUAAAGAGGAUAAGCACAAACAGGACAGUCAGCAACAUAUGAUGCCCAUGAAUCAACAUGUAGUCAGAAAGAAACAUCAUUGUCUAAAAUGGAUCAACAAAAUCAAAGAAGCCAAAUUUCAUUAGUGAAAAAAAAAAAUUAUUAAGGGCCACAUAUUCUAUAGGCAGCUGCUAGACUCUCUGUAGCUUUAUCAACACAAAAGAGAGAGGG
rnacentral:lncRNA from 1 species